rnacentral:lncRNA from 1 species
AAUUUUUUAUUUUAAUAUGAUUAACUCAAAAUCGAAAAUAAAAAAAAUGUAUUAGUUAUUCGGAGAUCGGAGACCCUCGGGGAUCCCUUGUUAUUAUUCGGGGAGGGGAUCAAGAUUCUCUCAAAUAAUUCUGACGGGGACGGGGAGAGGACGGGGACAUACGCAAAAUAUUAGGGAUGAGUACGGGGAGAUCGGUCCCCUCCCCUCCCCUCCCCAUUGCCAUCCCUAAGAAACACAUUGAGAUUGUGUUAAAAAUAUAUAGAUAUUUUGAUUCUAUAAUAUCGUUGGAAAGAUGAGGGAUCAAGUGAAAUUUUUCAAAACUUUUGAAGAAUUGAUUUUGUUAUUAUUAAUUGUUACUAAAUCAAGCGGGAAGGGUGCUUUCCUUUUUAGAAUGAAUGGACGAAUUAAACAAGAGAGAAAAUCUUGAAAAUAUACCAAAGUUAAAUUAAUUAACAUUUUAUCACAAUCUUCAUUAUUGAAGGAGAAUAUUUUAUGUUUCCUCCCAAGAUUUUAUCUCAUUGCAUUAAAUUGGAAUUUUUUUGAGUAAUGAGAAAAGAAUUAACUUAGGUGGUCUUCUUAUCCUCCAAUUUCACCAAUUUUCCAUUUUCAUCUCAAUCCAUUGAAUUCUAUGCCGGCCUAUUUUCUCAUUCUGUUAUCAACUUCCUCCUUAAGAUGGUAUAAUAUUUUUGCAAUUUUUUCGCACUGUCGAAUAUUUUCUAUAAAAGAUCUUCCAAUUUUAGAUGCGGUUACUAAUUAUGGGCUACUUUAUAGUUAUUCUGCUUCAAUUUAAUCCUUAAAUUACAAUAAUUUAUUUUACUUUAAAGAGUAAAUUAGAAGGGUCAAUUAUCCUCAGUAAUCAUGGGCAUUUAUCGUCUUUCAUAGAGACUCGAACAAAUUCUACUAUGGUGGGAGAAGAAUCUUUAACGCUUGCCAAUGGAUUGGGUAAUGUCAACCGAUAAACAGUAACAAGAUCAAAACCUAUUGAAAAACUUGAUGGGCUCCCUUGGAAGACAAAAGCCGUUACACGGUGUCUGAAAUAAAAGCCCAACGUUAAUCCACAUGGACCAAGUUUGGUUAAGUCCGAUCCAUUUUUCUGCUUAAUUUGAUCCUGGUCUUGCCAUCCUAAGGCUCCGUUUGGUACAACUUAUUAAAUAGAGCUUAUAACAGUAGAGCUUAUACCAAUAGAGCUUAUAUCAAUAGAGCUUUUGGACAAAAAGUCAUUGGUUGUUUGGUUGUCAAUAAAAAAGUAC